AUUCCAAUCUGUUGUUAUAUGGCAUUAUACUAUCUCUAUUACCUAAGUCAGUUUUAGAUCUAACAUGAAGUUCUAAUAGUUAUACUGACCCAAGGUAGACAUUCCAUCAUUGAACAAAAUAAAAUCCUUACAAACAAUUCAGAUUAGAUAAGCAAAUCUAAUUGUACUAGGGAAUCUGAAAGUAAGUGUUUUAACAAAGUUAUACAUGCUAGGAUCAUAACCCUUAAAACUAAGAGUUGUUUUCCAAAGGAUAGCUUCUAAUCUCACCACUGCAAAUAAUCAAGUCAAAAAUAUUCAUAGACAUGUUAAGAAUCUGCUAAAGACACAUGCACAAGAUUAUCAUCAAUCCUAGUUACCAGAACAGUCAUCUAGCAUACUAGUUCAACAUUAUCUAUUGUGAUGCUAUCAUGCUUGUGCUUGUGUGUUGAACAAUUCUACUCAGAGAUUUAUAACAUGCUUUCAAUAUAAAGAAAUAAGUACUGCAUAGUUAGAAAGAAUUCAUACCUGAGAAGUGCGAGGUGAGUCAUCUUCAGAGAAUGCUAGGAUAGCCAGAUAACUAUAAUCAUCCUUCUCAUCAGCAACUGAUCCAUCUCACACCUUUCCUUAUGUAGCAUAAGAACUUGUGAUGUUUCUUUCAAAAUAUCCACUUGAAUUUCAGACAAGCCCUAUCAUCCUUGUUUGUCGAGGCUUCAAUAUAUAUAACAACCCUUUUCGCUAGUGAUACCAAUCAAUAUUGUGUGUACUGACCAACUCAGUUUUGAAACAACCUCCUUGAACUGAACCCUGAAGAGUCUCCGCUUGAAACCAAUAGAUUCCAUCUGAAUCUGACAUGACUAAACCUCUCAGACAGUGUUAUACUAAUCCUUGAAGUUCUGUCCUCACAUUCUUCAAAAGUGUUAACUUUCGUCGACUUGAGCUUCGUCAAAUUCAACAGUUACAAACUCUUCUGUUCGACUUGAGCUUCCUCAAAUUCAGCAGUUACAAACUCUUCUGUUCAAUCCUAAGGUUUUGACAUAAAUGCACGAAACUGAUUUGGUGCGGUAGUAACUCGAUAAUUAUAUCCUUAAACCUCCACAAUUCUCUGUCUUUGAUCUCAGCUGGUUCCAGAUAGAUUUAGCAUUGGUACAAUUCACUGAGUAAUUGUAUAUCCAUGAAUCACUGAGUUAGAUUGAAAUCCCUUGAAGAUUCGUCCUGGAAAGAUGCUUCACUGCAGAUGUAGCAAAUUUCCAUCCUGAUCUGGUGAUCUGAUAAUCAAGUAGGAGUAAAUACUCAGAUCAAGGCCUGAAGUACCUUCUUCAAAAUUCACUGUUAGUAAUGUCCAAUCAGUCUUCAAUAGAAUCUUCUUCGAAUCACAAUCAGCUUUGUCGAACAUAGAAAACUGCUUCUAAUAAACCUUUGAGUAAUCAAUUGGAUUGGGUCAUCAAUGUACCUCCAUUACCGGUUCUGAGAAUCUGGUAUUUGAAAGCCCGGUGUUUCUCUUGUAAUCUGUCAGCCUGAUCUGUUUAAACUAUAUGUCAAUCUGAUUUGUCUUGGAGUGCAAAUAAUUGAAUAGGUUACGGGACACUUGAUUAUUUAAACUAAGUUUAAAUUAUAAAGAAAAUAAAUUUAAAAAUAAGUUUUAAAAAUAAACUUAGUUAAAUCUAUAAAGUAAAUUUAAUUAUAUUUAAAAAAUAAAUUCAAAUAAAUUUAUAAUAAACUGAAUAAGUUUAGAACAAAUUUAUUUCAAAUUCAUUUAGUAAAUAUAUUAAAAUUUAUUAGAUAAAUUUAAUUUUUUGAAAAUAUUCAAGUGUCUCGUGUCCAAUUAAAUCAUAGCUUCCAGAACAAACUAAAUUGAACCCUUGAACUUGAACUUAUAUCCAUAAUCAGUUAAAUCCUCUUAAAUUUAUAUUUUACAUUUUAACUUAAAUUUAAAUCAUAAACUAUAAAAAUUUAAAA
rnacentral:lncRNA from 1 species